CUGCCCUGUGGGUCCCAGAGAGGUGUGAGUGGGCUGCCUUGGCUCUGACUGGCAUUGUCAGUAUGACACCACAGCUCCUUCCUCCUCAAUUUCCAACACAGCAUCCCUCAGUCACCUCUCAUUGAAGGAAGAUUAUGUCAACUUCCAGGUCUCAGGGACAUUGACUAUAAAUAGAGAAGUCAUUCAUGAAGCAAAAUGACCAAGGAGGAUGCCUGGUAAUUUAAAUUCUUCUUGGGAAGAAUGUAACAGUGUUAAUUUUUUCACUUACUUAUUCUUUUCCUUCUUGCCUACCAUAUUUUUUUCAACUUUGGGUAAAAAUGUAAUAAGUUGUAUUGCAAUUUUUAACAAGUGUUACCCACAUCAAUAUUGAAGGGUCAGUUGCUUCACAAAUUUACCAAACAAUACUCUUCACCAAAACACUAUUGUUGGAAAGGGACCACCUCAACUAAGAGCCCCUCAAAACCAAAUCCCCAGUGGGUUACAUCACCCCAUAACCUCUUGUUACUCAUCUUCUUCAUAUCCACUUGUCUUUUUACAAUGUUCCACUAUACUUGUUGGUAUAAAGAUCAGUAAUCCAUGGUUCUAGCCUUUGAGGGGCUUGUGAGAGAAAGACAUGGCAUGCCAUGGACCAACUUAGUGGAGGUACAAGUGUCCCUGGAGCACAGAAAGGGAGGAACUACAUCUCCCCAGGGGAGUUCCAGAAGUUGCCACAGACUGUGACCUGGGCUUUGAAGGGUCAAUUCAACAGUCAGCAACCACACAGGAGAGAGGGCCUCCAGACUGAAACCUACCAACUGUGGGAAUGUGAGGCUGAAGUCAAGUAAAAUCAGAACGUGAAGAGCACAGGUGGGUCGCAAUAGCCAGGGGGUGAGCUGUGCAGUGGAGUGGACCUGCAGGAGCCCAAGCCUCGAGGGGAGGAUGAAGGCUUUCGGGAUGAGGCAUUGUCUACGCUGCAUCUUCAAUGUAUCAGAAGGUGUUAACAAGGCGAAGAGGGUUGUAGGCAAAGGGAAGAAUGCCUGCAAAAACCCAGAUUCCUGAAAUGCCACUCAAUGAUCAGUUUGACCUCACCAGCUCAUGUGUGGAGAGGCGAGUGAUGCAUCUGGGAUGCCAAGAGUCACAUCGCAUCUAAGCCCCAUUGGGGAACUUAUGCAUUCUUGGCUUACACCUGGCAGGGCUGAUAAGACUCAAAGCGGAUAAUUGUGUGUUGCUAUGGACUGAAUGUUUCCGUCCUCCACCCCCUAAAAUAUGCUGAUGCCCUAACCCCAUUGUGACGCACCUAGCAAGAAGGUGGCCAUCUACAACGAGAGCCCUCAUCAAACACUGGGUCUACCAGCAGCUUGAUCUUGGAUUUCCCAGCCUCCAAAACUAUGGAUCCUGUGGUAAAUCCCUCCUCUCCACGCUCAAGCAUCUCUGGGUCUCCUUUCCAGGCCGGACAGUAGCGCACGCAGGGACUGUGCCACCAGACAGAGGGGCGGCUCAGCUCCCAGAUGCAGUAGCCACGAUCACUUGGGCAAGUUACAAAGCCACUCUGAGACUGCGUCCUUCCCACAAAAAUGAAGGUCCCACAAAACUCAUCACAAGGAUGCAUCCUGAGAGCAGCUGCUUUGGAGGAAGGUUCUCCCUGACCUGCUCGUUCUUCCAUGGGAUUCAUCUUCCCCACACCAUGGUGCUGGAAUGUUCUGCUUGACUUACGGCGAAAGAGUUGUCUUAUUUGUUGUUGUUGUUGUUGUCAUCUGGUUUUUGUGUGUGUGUCAUUUUCGCCAUCUGUCCUGAUUGCCCUACAGGCCACAAGCCACAGACCUGCUUCAUCCUUGUUCUUCUCUCCUAGCUCUUUUUGUUGCCUUAGGAGUUUCUGUAACCCCAGUACACAUCAGGCCUUAGUCUUCCUAGUGCUAUUGUCAUAAACUCACAUGCCUCUCCUAUUCCCCAGAGAAUAUGAUGCCAUUUCUCUCCGUUUUAUUCAUGUGCUAUUUAAAUCUGAGCUCACCAGAGAGUUCCUUGGGCUGCCUUGCUGUUUUAUUUUAUUGUGUGCCCUGUCCCUGACCUUUUAAGUAAUUCUGACUCAAGCACAAGCCCGCCAGGAGCCAGUAGGUGACGGCAUUCGAGGCAACAGCUCAGGCCCAGCCCCUCCACCCACCUCCCUUCCGUUCUAAAACUGGCUGCUUCUUGGCUCUAUUUCCACCUGAACUCUGAACUCUUAUCACCUAGACCCUGUGUCUGAUGUGUUUGGAAGUAACUUCAUACGGUCUUCCUGUUCCCAGAAGACAUCAAAUCCUGACCCACUCCAAGUUCCACCUGGAACAUAAGAAUGAACCCCUUAGCGAGCACUUCUCAAGUGCCAAGCACAUGCCUAAGUACUUUACCUGGAUUGCCUCACUCAAUCCCAAGCUCAGCCCUACGAGAGAAGAACCCUCACUUCUCCAUUAUGGGUAAGGAAAUGGAGUCCCAGAGAAAUGCAGUAACUUGUCUGAGGUCACACAGAGAGGACCCCGCUGAACUGAAAUUUGAACCUAACUCUUGGCUCCUGUGCCAUUUUUCUCUCACUGACAAAAGCUGGCUGUGGAGGCAAAGUACAACCAACCAGCCAAGAGACCAACCUAGAUGCUUGGACACCAGGCUCUUGGCCCUAAAAUGAACUCCAGACUCUUGCAUGUGCACACACACAGGCACACACACGUACUUCUUAGAAUGUCAAAGGAGCCAGGAAGAAUUCUCCAUAUUGGAGCCCUUGAGAAACAGCUCAGGAAAGAAGGCACCGAUGGCAAUGAAGUCUGAUUUUCAGUAUGAACUCAUUCUAUAAACAUUGACUAAGCGUCAGUGACACGUCCGGCUUUGAGCCGACAAUGGGAACAAAGCAGUCAAAAGAGACACUCAGGCCUUGCCUUCAUGGAACUGUCUUCCCCGUGCACUGAAUGAGCUGUUGGGAAAUUUUCUUCACACGCACUCACUCACAUCCGCUGCACAUACUCCAUUCAGAGAGACCGCCUCUGGUCACAGACAUCGAGGCAGAGGGAGACCACUUUAGUUCUUAUUCCAACUGGAUCCCUACCAAGUAGCUCCAUUUUCAUGGUUCUUUUUAAUGAUGUCCAAGAAUCUUAUAACCCACAGUGAGGUUAUGUUUUUAUAGUCUUUUAUGGUCUUACUUCUAUGAUAUCACCACAUUCAAUUUUGCAGUUUCUUUCUUUUAAACGUGUGCUCGGGGAUCUCUGGCAGGCCUUCUAUUUCUUUCAUUUAUUCCCAACCCUGGUCCAUGAGCAUACAUUGAAUUGUUAGUUUCCUGAUACCUCAUUCAUAUGAUGAUUACUUUUACAGUUUUCCAGUAAAUAGCUCCUGUUACUUUUGCCCGGGUUCUGCUUCCUGCUGUCAUACAGACCAUUUAGCACAGGUAUGGGGCUUGUAUAACCUGCACCUACUUGGUUGCAAUGAGCUUGGCUGCAGUUAGACUUGAGGUCUUUCCAUCUGCAGCUGGACGGGCUAAUAGGGCAGGUUGGGGAUGGUAGCCUCUCUCUUCUCAGGACAUUCAUUUAUUUCAUUCAUUCAAUUUUUGUUUGCUGACUAUGUGCCAGGACUACUGGGGAUACAGCACUAAAAGUAGACAAAAGGUCAAAUAUUCCUACCCUCAUGGAGUUUAUUUUCAAGGCAGAAGAAAUCACAGAAACAAAAUGAGCAAGAGAUAUAUGAGUAAUAUAUAGAGUGUGUUAGCUCUAUACAGUUGAUGAUUCCAGGUUAGCUGAGGAUAAGUGCCAUGAUAAAAAAAAAUAAUAAAGCAGAAAAUGGCGAGGGAGGGCUACUGAGAAGGUGGCAUCUGAGUGGAGACCAGGGCAGGAAGGGGGUGACCAUGCCAUCAUCCAUGUGGGAAGUUAGAGGAUGAGGAAAGAGUACAUGUAGAGGCCAAGUUGUGGGCACCUACCUGGCAUAUGCAGGCAUAGCAAUGCAGAGAGGGAUAGGAGAUGGAGUCAGAGAGAUCAAGGGGUGUAAGAUCAAGGAGAGACUUACGAGCCAUUGUAAAGACUUUGGUUUCCACUCAGGAUAAAGGGAAAUCAUCAGAGAGUUUUUAGUGGACAAGGGACAUGCUACACAUAACAGGCCCACUCAGGUUGCUGUGCAGAGAACAGCCUAGAUAGACAUGAACAAGGGUGGGAGGGAGCCAGCACUCUUACCCCAUCUGUGGGUUCCUUCUGUGCCUUCUGCCACAGACACCUGGAAACUGGCACAUGUGAUGGAGUCCCACCCACCAGGGGGUCUCUCCUGUCAAUCACUGCUGGGAUUUCUAGGCCAACUCCCUUCUCUUUCUCUGAGCUUGAACCUCCUGG
rnacentral:lncRNA from 10 species